rnacentral:tRNA from 1 species
CAAGACGUAGCUUAACAAAGCACUCAGCUUACACCUGAAAGAUAUCUGUUAAUAUCAGAUCGUCUUGA